UUGUAUUAGCAACACAUAUACUACAAUUGGAACAAUACAGAGAAGAUUAGCAUGUCCUGUGCACAAGGAUGAUACACAAAUUCAUGAAGCAUUCCAUAUUUUA